rnacentral:rRNA from 1 species
ACCGAUAGAAAAAGCACCGGCUAACUCCGUGCCAGCAGCCGCGGUAAUACGGAGGGUGCAAGCGUUAAUCGGAAUUACUGGGCGUAAAGCGUGCGUAGGCGGCUGCUUAAGUCAGAUGUGAAAGCCCCGGGCUUAACCUGGGAACGGCAUUUGAUACUGGGCAGCUCGAGUUGAGUAGAGGAGAGGGGAAUUUCCGGUGUAGCGGUGAAAUGCGUAGAGAUCGGAAGGAACACCAGUGGCGAAGGCGCCUCUCUGGACUCAAACUGACGCUGAGGUACGAAAGCGUGGGUAGCAAACAGGAUUAGAUACCCUGGUAGUCCACGCCGUAAACGAUGUCAACUAGCCGUUGGUCUUAUUCGUAAGAUUCGUGGCGCAGCUAACGCGAUAAGUUGACCGCCUGGGGAGUACGGCCGCAAGGUUAAAACUCAAAUGAAUUGACGGGGGCCCGCACAAGCNGUNGAGCAUGUGGUUUAAUUUCGAUGCAACUCGAAGAACCUUACCUACCCUUGA